rnacentral:lncRNA from 10 species
CGCCUUCCUCAGUGCAAACAGCAAGUGCUCAGUAAUGGUUACUAGAUGAAUUCUAUGGAGAGACAACAGAAGGUUGUGUUUGCCUCUCAGCUCUGCCAGUAACUAGCUGGGGGACUUUGGCAGCGCGAGAGUGCAGCCUGUGCCAGGUGUGGGAAAACCCCAGGGACCCCAAACCUCUCACUGCCUCGAGAGGAGCAGCUCAGUGCAGUGGAAAAUUUCAUGGAAGCCAAAAUCCCUGCCUCUUACUGGAUAUGAGGGCCUUUGAGGGGAACAUCCAACCUCUCUGAGCCUCAGUGUCCUCAUCCGCAAAACAGAUAAUAACUCCUCUCUCACAGAGUGUGGAUUCGUUUUUGAGGGCUGCUGUAACAAAGUACCACAGACCAAGUAGCUUAAACAAGUGGAGUGUAAGCACCAUGACAACAGGAACUGUGUCUUGACCACUGUUGACUUCCAAGCACCUCAAAUAGGACCUGUCACAUAGAAGUUUCAAUCAAUAUUUGUUGAGUGAAUGAAGACAACAGGUGUCAACUUAGCUUCUACUACAGUUCUAAGACUUUUGCGUCAAGAAGUGGGGACACUCCAGAUGCAAUGUGCCAACGACCUCACAGACACAGGUUGUGGAUAGCAGCAGACAUGGAGGUGGAGGCUGGGCGGCCAGUGAUGCUGUGAGUCAGUUCUGCAGGCUGUACGGGAAGCACGGCACCAGUAUCUGCUUCUGGUGAGGACUCAGGAGCUUAAAAUCAUGGUGGAAGCAGGGAGAGCAAGCAUGUCACAAGAAUCAGAAAUUAUGGAAUUCUCCUGGCUGCCCGCUUCAGCAAUCCCUCCACAGCACUUCGGUGGAUGGAAUCUCCCCUUCCUGGAGCAAGUGAGAGAAAGUACCCGGAUGCUUUUUGUGCUGCUCUCCUUUUUUCCACAUGGUUACUAAAGGU